GUCAUUGUCUCACAACUCGUUGGUUAGAGCAUGAGGCUCUUAAUCUCAGAUUCAUGGGUUUGAACCCCACAUUGGGCA